AUUGAACGCUGGCGGAAUGCUUUACACAUGCAAGUCGAGCGGCAGCACGGGGGCAACCCUGGUGGCGAGCGGCGAACGGGUGAGUAAUACAUCGGAACAUGCCCAGUCGUGGGGGAUAACACUUCGAAAGGAGUGCUAAUACCGCAUACGUCCUGAGGGAGAAAGCGGGGAUCUUCGGACCUCGCGCGAUUGGAGUGGCCGAUGUCAGAUUAGCUAGUUGGUGGGGUAAAGGCCUACCAAGGCAACGAUCUGUAGCUGGUCUGAGAGGAUGAUCAGCCACACUGGGACUGAGACACGGCCCAGACUCCUACGGGAGGCAGCAGUGGGGAAUUUUGGACAAUGGGGGCAACCCUGAUCCAGCCAUUCCGCGUGAGUGAAGAAGGCCUUCGGGUUGUAAAGCUCUUUCGGCAGGAACGAAACGGCGAGCUCUAACAUAGCUUGCUAAUGACGGUACCUGAGGAAGAAGCACCGGCUAACUACGUGCCAGCAGCCGCCGUAAGAC
rnacentral:rRNA from 1 species